rnacentral:rRNA from 1 species
GACGAACGCUGGCGGCGUGCUUAACACAUGCAAGUCGAACGAAGUGGCGAACGGGUGAGUAACGCGUAAUCAACCUGCCCUUCAGAGGGGGACAACAGUUGGAACCGACUGCUAAUACCGCAUACUGAAGGCGGGGAUUGCGUCUGAUUAGCUAGUUGGAGGGGUAACGGCCAACCAGGGCGAUGAACAGUCGCCGGUCUGAGAGGAUGAACGGCCACAUUGGGACUGAGAAACGGCCCAGAAUCCUACGGGAGGCAGCAGUGGGGAAUCUUCCGAAAUGGACGAAAGUCUGACGGAGCAACGCCGCGUGAGUGAUGACGGCCUUCGGGGUGUAAAGCUCUGUUAAUCGGGACGCGGUACCGGAAUAGAAAGCCACGGCUAACUACGUGCCAGCAGCCGCGGUAAUUC